AGAGUUUGAUCAUGGCUCAGGAUGAACGCUAGCGGGAGGCCUAACACAUGCAAGCCGAGCGGUAGAUUACUUUCGGGUAAUUGAGAGCGGCGUACGGGUGCGGAACACGUGUGCAACCUGCCUUUAUCAGGGGGAUAGCCUUUCGAAAGGAAGAUUAAUACCCCAUAAUAUAUUAUUCGGCAUCGGGUGAUAUUGAAAACUACGGUGGAUAGAGAUGGGCACGCGCAAGAUUAGCUAGUUGGUGAGGUAACGGCUCACCAAGGCGACGAUCUUUAGGGGGCCUGAGAGGGUGAUCCCCCACACUGGUACUGAGACACGGACCAGACUCCUACGGGAGGCAGCAGUGAGGAAUAUUGGACAAUGGGUGGAAGCCUGAUCCAGCCAUCCCGCGUGCAGGAAGACGGCCCUAUGGGUUGUAAACUGCUUUUAUCUGGGGAUAAACCUACUUACGUGUAAGUAGCUGAAGGUACCAGAAGAAUAAGCACCGGCUAACUCCGUGCCAGCAGCCGCGGUAAUACGGAGGGUGCAAGCGUUAUCCGGAUUUAUUGGGUUUAAAGGGUCCGUAGGCGGACUGAUAAGUCAGUGGUGAAAUCCGACAGCUUAACUGUCGAACUGCCAUUGAUACUGUUAGUCUUG
rnacentral:rRNA from 1 species